CUACGGGAGGCAGCAGUGAGGAAUAUUGGUCAAUGGGCGCGAGCCUGAACCAGCCAUCCCGCGUGCAGGAUGACGGCCCUAUGGGUUGUAAACUGCUUUUCUAUGCCAAGAAACCUGAUUACGUGUAAUCAGUUGCCGGUAGCAUAGGAAUAAGCAUCGGCUAACUCCGUGCCAGCAGGCCGCGGUAAUACGGAGGAUGCAAGCGUUAUCCGGAUUCAUUGGGUUUAAAGGGUGCGCAGGUGGGCUUGUAAGUCAGUGGUGAAAUGCUGCCGCUUAACGGUAGAACUGCCAUUGAUACUGCGAGUCUUGAGUAUGGUUGAGGUAGGCGGAAUGUGUUGUGUAGCGGCGAAAUGCAUAGAUAUGACACAGAACGCCAAUUGCGAAGGCAGCUUACUAAGCCAUUACUGACGCUGAGGCACGAAAGCGUGGGGAGCGAACAGGAUUAGAUACCCUCGUAGUC
rnacentral:rRNA from 1 species